AACUACGGCCAUGCUACCCUGAACAAGCCCGAUCUUGUCUGAUCUCGGAAGCUAAGCAGGGUCAGGCCUGGUUAGAACUUGGAUGGGAGAUCACCUAGGAAGACCAAGUGCUGUAGGCA
rnacentral:rRNA from 1 species